rnacentral:lncRNA from 1 species
AAUCUAAACAUGUACUUAGAUUUUUAUGCCCCGUCUACGAUAGUAGUAGGGGCAUUAUGUUUUCUGGUCUGUGCGUCCGUUCGUCCGUCUGUUCGUUCGUCUGUUCGUUCGUCUGUUCGUUCGUCCGUUCGUCCGUCUGUCCCAUGUCAGGUUAAAGUUUUUGGUCGAGGUAGUUUAUGAUGAAGUUAUAGUUGCAUCCAUUUGUAACUUUACAUACAUAGUCAUUAUAAUAGGGAAUUUCUAAAAAGUACCUCAAAUUUAGGUUUUGGUCCUCAUUUCAUGGUUCAUUGAACAUGAAAAUGAGAUUGUGUGAAACAGCUCUUUGCCAGGUUAAAGUUUUUGGUCGAGGUAGUUUAUGAUGAAGUUAUAGUUGCAUCCAUUUGUAACUUUACAUACAUAGUCAUUAUGAUAGGGAAUUUCUAAAAAGUACCUCAAAUUUAGUUUUUUGGUCCUCAUUUCAUGGUUCAUUGAACAUGAAAAUGAGAUUGUGUGAAACAGCUCUUUGCCAGGUUAAAGUUUUUGGUCGAGGUAGUUUAUGAUGAAGUUAUAGUUGCAUCCAUUUGUAACUUUACAUACAUAGUCAUUAUGAUAGGGAAUUUCUAAAAAGUACCUCAAAUUUAGUUUUUAUGCCCCACCUACGAUAGUAGAGGGGCAUUAUGUUUUCUGGUCUGUGCGUCCGUCUCUUCGUUCGUUCGUUCGUUCGUCUGUUCGUUCGUCCGUCUGUCCCGCUUCAGGUUAAAGUUUUUGGUCAAGGUAGUUUUUUGAUGAAGUUGAAGUCCAAUCAACUUGAAACUUAGUUAUACAUGUGCCCUAUGAUAUGAUCUUUCUAAUUUAAAUGCCAAAUUAGAGUUUUGACCCCAAUUUUACGGUUCACUGAUAGAAAAUGAUAGUGCAAAUUUUAGGUUAAAGUUUUUGGCUUCAGGUUAAAGUUUUUGGUCAAGGUAGUUUUUGAUGAAGUUGAAGUCCAAUCAACUUGAAACUUAGUAUACAUGUGCCCUAUGAUAUGAUCUUUCUAAUUUAAAUGCCAAAUUAGAGUUUUGACCCCAAUUUUACGGUUCACUGAACAUAGAAAAUGAUAGUGCAAAUUUCAGGUUAAAGUUUUUGGCUUCAGGUUAAAGUUUUUGGUCAAGGUAGUUUUUGAUGAAGUCGAAGUCCAAUCAACUUGAAACUUAGCAUACAUGUGCCCUAUGAUAUGAUCUUUCUAAUUUAAAUGCCAAAUUAGAGUUUUGACCCCAAUUUUACGGUUCACUGAACAUAGAAAAUGAUAGUGCAAAUUUCAGGUUAAAGUUUUUGGUCAAAGUAGUUUUUGAUGAAGUUGAAGUCCAAUCAACUUGAAAACUUAGUAUACAUGUGCCCUAUGAUAUGAUCUUUCUAAUUUAAAUGCCAAAUUAGAGUUUUGACCCCAAUUUUACGGUUCACUGAACAUAGAAAAUGAUAGUGCAAA